CCCCUUUGUGACAUCCAUGCCGAUGUGAGGCCUUGGCUGCUGUGAGGACCAGGGAGAAAUGGGGGAAGGCGCUUGGAGAGGCCUAACGAAGCUGAACGUGAAGGUCACCACCGCACGUGGGGCCGAGGGGGGCGCCCGUGGGAGUCACUGAGACGGCUGUCUUUAUUUUUGAACUCACCUGAUUCUCCCAGUUAAGUCUCUAUCUUCAUUUUUAAUUUUAGUUCAGCUGCCGCGGGAUCUUGGCUGCAUAGAGGUUCCCCUGCUGCUGUCCUGUACUGUGCCUCCCGGAGGUGGCCACUCUUACCCGCCUUCCGCGUGCCCCUGUCCUAUCGAUCUAGCCCCAGACAGGCGCCCGACAGGUCUUAGUCCUUGCUCCUUCCCACCUGCUCCCACUCUAAUGCCUCUGUCCCCACCAAACUCCAUGUUUCCUGAAAUAGAAAGACUUUGGAUUCUUUUUGCCUUUUCCUCAAGCUGUUGCAGCAUCCCGACAUAGAGGGCCUCAGGAGACAGGAGCUGAGGGGCUGAGGAGGGAGACCCCCAGAACGUGUCUCUGAGACUGUGGCGCUGCGAGCCAAGCAGACGCAGAGGUGCUGUCCAGACGCGUCUUUGGGUCCGACGAAGCACAGGACGGUCCCUGUCACCCCGCUGACACCGUAGCUGGCUCCACUUCCCAGCGCAGCCAGGGCCUGGUCCGGGCGCCACUCGGCUAACGCCUGCUGCCGAUUGGUGUAGCUUUGUGACAUCACUUGACCGGCUACGCCAGCCGCGGGGCACAACAUUCCCCUUCUCGCUGCAUCCCCGCCAACGCCGGAUACGUCUGGUCUUCGGGCCCAGCGUUCUGACAGCUCCUUGUCACGUACCUGAUUCGCAGAUACCAUCUCCCUUCCGGCAGGCCGCCGCUGCUUCUGCCGACGCUUCCUCGGUGCGGUCCCGCUGGCUUAGCUUGGUUUCUGUCGCCUUCGCUCCUGGUGUCAGUCCAGUCGUCAUCGCCAAGACCAGGGCUACGGCUCUCACCGCCUGCGUUUUCUUCCGAGUCUUAUGGCUUCAGGCGUCUAGUCCGAGUCGGUUUUGUGAACCACUAGAGUGCACCUGUGCACCAUGGGAUCGAGUCUCACUCUCUGGCCGGCGGCUGCGCUGUGCCCCGGCUCCCCGUGGGGUAUCCGCGCCUCCUCCACUGUGAUGUGGGCCACCGCGCGCGCGGGUUUAUUUCCGGGCCCUCUGUUCUGUUCCGGCUCUCUCUGUUCUGAGACUUAACUGAGUUACCUGCAAGCGGUUUGGCUCUUUCAUGUCUUACUCUCAGGCUUUGUUAGGUGGAGCUAGAGGCCAAUGUAGUCGGGGUGACUUAUCCCCACUGCCAGGAAACACCUGUCUCCAUGUUCUCACUGGUGCCCCGUGAAUGGCGGUCUCUGGCUGUUGGGAGCGGACUUGUGAGACCUUCCUGGGGGCUGUUCGCUCCAAUUCUUUUGGGUUCUCUCUGCCGGUCAGGCAGUUUCCGCACAUGCGUGUGCUGACAGUCCGCUGGACCCUUGCAGUCUGACACUCCACAGAUUCUAGCCUCCUUGGCCUCAGCCUCCAGGCUCUGUCCCCUUGACCAAGAAGGCGUCUGGGAUCGGUGUGGGUUUUCUUGCCUCUGCCACGGUCUGGGGACCUUCUCCGGGCGGGGGCGGUCACACGCCUCACCGGUGCACGUGCAGGGUCCUCCAUCCCCGGGGGUCCCAUGUCUUCACAUAGUCUUUCAGGUUUUACUAGGGGUUUCUGGUGGGAAGGGAAGUACGGUCCGUGUUUCUGUAUCUUGAUCAGGAGCCGAAGCCGCACAGUCGUGUUUCCGUAAAGUUUGAAGAGACGUAGCCAGUGCAGUCUGCGGUCCUUUCCCUCGGCCGGGA